rnacentral:snoRNA from 1 species
NCUAGAAAAAAGGGUUGGAGAGAGCAGCCUUAUGGAGAACAUCACAGGGCUGACUGUACUACCCAACAUGC